rnacentral:rRNA from 1 species
AAUGAACGUUGGCGGCGUGGAUUAGGCAUGCAAGUCGCGCGAGAAGUCAUUUAGCUUGCUAAAAGGCGGACAGCGGCGGAAGGGAGAGUAACGCGUGGUUAUGUACCCUCGAGACCGGGAUAGUGUCGGGAAACUGGCAGUAAUACCGGAUAACAUCUUCGGAUCAAAUGGUAUGAUUCCGCUCGAGGAUCGGCACGCUUACUAUUAGCUAGUUGGCGGGGUAAUAGCCCACCAAGGCUUAGAUGGUUACCGGGUGUGAGAGCCUGGCCCGGCUCACUGGGACUGAGCCACUGCCCAGACAUCUACGGAUGGCUGCAGUCGAGAAUCUUCGGCAAUGGACGAAAGUCUGACCGAGCGACGCCGCGUGCGGGAUGAAGGCCCUCGGGUUGUAAACCGCUGUCAGUUAGGAGGAAAUCCAUGAGGGUACUCUCUCAUGGUUGACCGAUUUUCAGAGGAAGGACGGGCUAAGUUCGUGCCAGCCGCCGCGGUAAAAC